rnacentral:tRNA from 1 species
UUGGAAUGAAAUAUCUAGCAAGAGGCUGUUGCUGUUGCUGGGCACUAGCAAUGUGCACGCCUUUUGUGGAAAAAUAAACCCUUAGCAGCAACUUGUUUCGAUCAAGUGACCUCAGGGUUAUGGGCCCUGCGCGCUUCCACUGCGCCAUGCUGCUGUGUGGGGGAUUUAUUUCUUCUCCCUGUGCACCACUUGUAGACUUUGUCUGUCUAUGAAUAUUACUAUAUCACAUAACCUUAUGAAUGCAUCUUUGUGAUUAUAUAUCUAC